rnacentral:rRNA from 1 species
GUCGACGCGAAUCACCUUCGGGUGAAAGUAGAGUGGCGGACGGGUGAGUAACGCGUGGGAAUCUGCCUAGUAGUGGGGGAUAACUCGGGGAAACUCGAGCUAAUACCGCAUACGCCCUACGGGGGAAAGGCUUCGGCCGCUAUUGGAUGAGCCCGCGUCAGAUUAGCUUGUUGGUAGGGUAAAGGCCUACCAAGGCAACGAUCUGUAGCUGGUCUGAGAGGACGAACAGCCACACUGGGACUGAGACACGGCCCAGACUCCUACGGGAGGCAGCAGUGGGGAAUAUUGGACAAUGGGCGAAAGCCUGAUCCAGCAAUGCCGCGUGUGUGAAGAAGGCCUGCGGGUUGUAAAGCACUUUCAGUUGGGAAGAUGAUGACGUUACCAACAGAAGAAGCACCGGCUAACUCCGUG